GCUCCUAACAUGGAAACAGGGGAAGAUGAAAAGGGAUUUCAUUUGGUACCAGCAUCCGUAAGUUCCCUUAUCACCUGCCUCCUAAUUCUACACAUCUUUCCAAACAUACAUUUGAAUUGAAUAAGAACAACGGAACACAACUGCCAUUCUGAAAAUAAUCUUGUUCUAUCUUCAACUUCUUAAUUGCACCUAAAAAUGUCACCAUAAACAGCAGUCAAUUUCCCAGUAUUCCUCUUCCCCACAAAACCAGUUUCACUGCCAAUUGGACUUUGUUGUUUCGUGAACAAGAACAAAAACUGGACAUCGGAUUCAUCACUUAAGUCCAAGAAUUAUAUUUUCUUUGAAGCAGAAUGUUCCAUUUACACAACAGUGAUAUUAAAGAAAUUCAGGUCAACACCUUGAUACAGAUUUAGAUUCCAAGACAAGAAAAUGGUGCUGAAAGAAGGAGAUUUGUACAAAGUAAUCUUGAAAAGGAGUAAAUUGAACCAAAGUGAAGACAAUACACAAUGGUCUUAAUAAUAAUGUAAAAAAAAACACGCAUACAUAUCAUUCAGGUCAAAGUAAUGAUCAGUCUUGAUUGUAGAGGGCACACAAUUAAAGACAUCUCCUUUAUUUCAGGAAAGGGGUUGUUGUUUAUUAUUCAUUUCUGAAGAGGACCAAAGAUGUCUGGUCUUGACUUGCACUUUAAUUGAAUUUAAGUGAAGCAGUUGCACAAAUUCCUCAGCUUCAGUAUCUCUUCCAGAGUCAUUGAAGUCCAAAGGCAGAACAAAAUUCAGGAUGACUGGCAAUGGUCUGGGUAUCUUCAGUGUCUGACAGAACAAAGCACUUCACAGUGCCUGCUUCAACAACAAACUGUUCUUAUCUGCCCAUUCCAUUGGGGGAUAUCUUCACAUGCUUGUAGUAGAGACAACCUCCUACCUCGCCAGUGGGUUUGUGGCCCAUUAGAUACCUUUAACUGGAUUAGCCCAUCUGCAAAAGUGGUUUUCUGGGGUUUGUCCACUGUGCAUAUAGAGCUAUAUAGUUUCUUGAAGUUACAAGUGAGAGUUGAGUGCCAGGUGGGCAUCACAGAAAAGGGAUGUUAGGAUACUGAUUGUCCAAAUAUGUGAAUUUCUGGACAAGGUCAAUGUAUUAGGCUUGCUUCACGUAAUAGUCCUCCUCUGAGUUCCUCCUUGAAACCUCCAUUUCAGAAUAAACCCAUAUCAGCCAUGCUCACUGGCCAAGUACCUGACUCUCCCACUCCUAUGGGUAAUGGCAAGCAAGUUCAAGAGCAUAAUACCUGUAUGUAGGUAGCUAAAGUAGAAUGAAAGAGCUGGUCAUUAUGACUAAGAAACUGAGGAAUAAGGUGGUUUAUAUAUUUGCAUUUCCAGUGCUUAGUCAAGUGCCUAUUACAAACUAAAUAAUAAAUGUUCUGUUCAUCACUCCAUUGCUCCAUCCAUCCAUCUGUAUGUCUAUUAAUCAUCUAUCCAUCUGUUUGUCUACCUCUCUGCCAGUUCCUGUCUAUCACCUGUCUAUUAUCUAUCUGUCUGUUUGUCUAUCAUCUAUCUAUUUUUCUCUUCUAUCUGUAUGUCUAUAUAUUUGUUUAUCAAUCACCUAUCUACCUAUCUAUUCUGUUAUAAGGGAGCAUUUGGGUGGCAACAGCAGAGGGGGAACAGUCCUAAGAAAUGAUAGUGAUGAGAACACAAUAAAAAUAGAGAAAACAAAACCAGAAAGAAACAAUAACUUAUAGAAAUGAGAUUCCAAAGCCUCAUAGUAUCUGAACAUCAUUUAACCAAAUUCAUACUCCAGUUUUACAUAUAAGUACAAAUAUAAAACAUGUAAAAAUUAACUAUUUGUUCAACUAAACUUAAAACAUCUCAACAAAAGCUUCUCUUAAAAAAAUUCAAGAGAAAGAAGACUUUGAAUUAUUUCAAUAACACCUACUUUUCCCAUUUCUAUUAUACAUUCAUCUACAAAGGAUAAUUAUUUCAUACUAUUAUAAAACUAGAGUUAGGCUCAGUAGAGCAAGAACUUACAAAGAAUGGAGACUUUCUGAUUCAAAUGAGGAAUUGUAAAUUAAUUUUCUUUGGAUCUAUUUUCAAAAGAGAUUUUUCAGAUGUUGUUUACUGGUAAAUCUUAAUAUCUCCAAGAUACUUGUCUAUUCAUAAAAUAAGUAUAACAAAGCAUAAUAUAAAGCUCUUAAUGUUAAACAAUAGUUUUCUGCAAUCCUUUUUUUUAACUCUCAAAAAACUGGGUGUACAAGUAGCAAGUAAUUAUGUGAACAAUUUCCUAUGCACAAUACUUUGGGGCUCUGUAAUUUGUAUUUGCUCUAUGCUUUCCAUAAAUAGAGACUGAAUGAGAAAAUGUCUCAAAUUCAAAUGUACUAGGGCAUUUCUCACAAGUUUUUAACAUUAAAAAAUUCAUUUUUGAUCUUACUGGAAAUGGGAAAGGCUUUGUGAGGCUGCUUGACUAGUUCUUGUGAAGUUAAUUCAGCUGGCACAAAGAAUAACUCCCUGAACUGAGAUAGGAAUGGUAGAGACAAGCAGUUGAAUGGAAAAAUGUUCACAGCUCUUCAUAUAUCUGGGCAAAUUUAUUUUUAAAAAAGGAAACACCAUUGGAAAAAAAUUAAGUCAGAGAAGCUAGGCUAGAGGCUCUUACUAUAUGUCAACUAUAUCAUAACAUAUUGACAUUUUUGCUCAGGGUUAGGAGUAAAAACAAACUAACAACUCAAGGUUAAAUCCUUCUUGUAUAAUUAGGAGGUACCCUUAAAAAGUGUGGCUUGUAUAUUUAUGA